GCCAGGUGUGGUGGCACGUGCCUGUAGUCUCUGGAGGCUGAGGCGGGAGGACUGCUUGAGCCCAGGAGUUCUGUGUGGUAGUUCAUUAUGUGGAUUGGGUGUCUGCACUAAGUUUGGCAUCAAUAUGGUGACCUCCUGGGAGCAGGGGACCACGAAGUUGCCUAAGGAGGGGUGAACUGACCCAGGUCGGAACAUAGCAGGCAAUAAAUAUCCUGGGAAUGAAUGUUGAACCAAUCUUAUACUAUUCUCUCAGUUUAGGGUUUUUAGGGUAUGCUGUACUUCUGC
rnacentral:lncRNA from 1 species